AUUCAGAACAGGACGUCCUACGGGGGGCAGCAGUAGGGAAUCUUCCGCAAUGGGCGAAAGCCUGACGGAGCGACGCCGCGUGAGCGAGGAAGGCCUUCGGGUCGUAAAGCUCUGUUGUCAGGGAAGAAGGCGCGCCGUUCGAAUAGGGCGGCGCGGUGACGGUACCUGACGAGGAAGCCCCGGCUAACUACGUGCCAGCAGCCGCGGUAAAACGUAGGGGGCGAGCGUUGUCCGGAAUUACUGGGCGUAAAGCGCGCGCAGGCGGU
rnacentral:rRNA from 1 species